GAUGAAGAACGCAGCGAAAUGCGAUAAGUAGUGUGAAUUGCAGAAUUCAGUGAAUCAUCGAAUCUUUGAACGCACAUUGCGCCCCUUGGUAUUCCAUGGGGCAUGCCUGUUCGAGCGUCAUUUGUACCUUCAAGCUCUGCUUGGUGUUGGGUGUUUUGUCUCGCCUCUGCGUGUAGACUCGCCUUAAAACAAUUGGCAGCCGGCGUAUUGAUUUCGGAGCGCAGCACAUCUCGCGCUUUGCACUCAUAACGGCGACGUCCAAAAGUACAUUUUUACACUCUUGACCUCGGAUCAGGUAGGGAUACCCGCUGAACUUAAGCAUAUCAAUAAGCGGAGGA
rnacentral:misc_RNA from 1 species